GGCCUUGUGGUCUAGUGGUAUGAUUCUCGCUUAGGGUGCGAGAGGUCCCGGAUUGGAUCUCCGGCAAGGCCC
rnacentral:tRNA from 1 species